rnacentral:lncRNA from 1 species
UCACCUUUGCUUGAUCUCAGAAGAAGUUGGAAAUUUCACCUUCCAAGUCCGAGGAAAUAGUUGAAUGAUCACUGGUAAUAAAGAACUUGCCUCAAAUUGUAAGAAUUGUCAAUUUACGGCUUCCAGCUGCACUAAAAUUCCAUUCAUGUUAAUCUCAAGACAAAAAACAACUAUUAGCCUGAAAAGUUGCUUUAACAUCAAUUUGGAUCAAGAGUAAAGAAGGCAGAAGAAAACUUCUCCUUCAAUUUCUACAAAUUGAGAAGAAUGUUAGAUGCAGACAAGCAAAGUUCUUCAUGUUGUGCCAGUUAUUGCAAGAAAUUCUUGUAACUGCUGGUAUUACUCUGGGCAAAAACGAACAAAGAGAACCAAAAAAAAAUCUCACUUACUGAGAGUAUAAAAUCCAUAAGAGUGGUGCAAGAAUGACAUCGUCGACUGUCAAUUUCCGUGCCAAAUUGCAAAAUGAAAACUGGAAAACUACAGAUUCGAUUCAUUUUAACUGUCAUUUAAGGUUGUUGCACAUCCCCCUUAAGGAUGAAUUAAUGAUACACUAAUAAGGAUGAAUAUGGAAAAGAGAAGUAAAUGCUUCUUGUUUUUUCUGAAACUUCAAAUAUUGGGAAUAAAUUCAGUUUGAAUCACAAGAUAUACUGUCCUGGUUUCUGGAAGCAUCAUAGAUGAAGCAUAAAAUACAAAUAGCAGUAAAAGCAGCAGAAAGCUCUUGCAAACUGUCACAAACCCCUCCAGAUACUAACAACAACAACAACAACAACCCAGUAUAAUCCCACAAGUGGGGUCUGGGGAGGGUAAUAUGUACGCAGACCUUACCCCUACCCCGAGGGGCAGAGAGACUGUUUCCAGGAGACCCUCGGCUCAAGAAAGCACCAAGUGACGAUAUAUUAGUACUAUCAAUAGACUCAUAAUAAAAUAACAUAAAAUACAUAACAUAACAUAAAAUAACCUAAAAUAACAAAAUAACAACAAUAUAAGAAAUAUAGGAAAUAUGAGAAAAAUGGCAUUAUAAUACAGUUAAAUAACAUAAAACUCUAGUCAUCAGCAUAUAUAAUGAAGAAGUCAACUGCAGACAUGUACCUUGACCGGCCCCUUGAAAGAUAUUUGGACCUUGAGACAGAUCUACUAUAUCGAUUGUAUGAAGGUGAGCGAGAAUACCUGCAAUACAGAUGCAAUAUUCGAAUAUGAAAAGGAAUAAUGACCAUAUAGAACCCACAUUAAGACCAAACAAUACCUUGACCUCCUGGAAUACGACAUCGUGAAGAGAUUAUGGCGUAGGAUUGG